ACGUGUAUGUGUUUCUAAGCAAAACUUCUUGGAAGAAAAGGAAAUUCUUAGAAGCAAUUAGAGUAUCACACCCAUGCUAUACCCUUUGAUUCAUUAGCUUGCUCUGUUUUUCUGUUAUUUUGAAAUUACCCAAGUGGAAGCAGAAAAACUGCCAGGAAAAUGUCACAGCCACCCCUUACUGAACAGCAGAAACACCAGCAAAACACCAACUGCAACAUGGUGUAUUUUGAAGGUGAGAUUAAAUUUACCUACACCUAGAGAAAUAAUUGGAGCACAUGUCUAUUUGGGCCAAGAGGAUAAAGGCCAGUAGAGGAAUCAGAUCAAAGAACUUCCUCAGGGAAGUGUGCAGAGAACUGGAGUGGACCUUCCCCUAGGAAGCUGCCCAAAACGAGAGUGCUGGAAAGCUGGCCGCAGUGAGGCACUUCAGAUCCCAAGGGUAUGCUGGGGAAGCUGCCACAGGUGGGAGCACUUGCUGCUGGACCCUAGGCACUGUUGAAACAACUGCACCAUCUGCAGGAGCCCAGCAAGAGGUGCCUUCAGCCAUGAUUAUAAGUUUCCUGAGGCCUCCCCAGCCAUAAGAAACUCCAAAGCCAGGCAUCCCAUCUGGAGAGAGAGAAGACUGAAGCAGAAACACAAUGGGAAGGAAGCAAAGAUGGAGGUAGAAUAGCUGCCACGAGCCCUGAUAGUUUCAGGCCUUGACUGCAUGUCCUUAGGAUCUCAGGCUUCUCUGUUUUUCCUUUGGGUUCCAUGAAAAACCCCGAUAUUUUGGUAAUAAACACCCUUGGGUUGC
ensembl:lncRNA novel transcript